CUAUUUUGUUAUUUUUAUUUUUGUAGAGUUAGCCGGAGAGAGAGGAAGUGUUAGCUUACUCAGGCAUGGAUGUACUAUUAGUGUCAUUGAUGUAUGUUGAGUGUACCAAGGAUGGAUUCCAAUGUAUUAAGUGUGGAUAUGACUGGACCAUUGAAAUAGGGAUUUGAUUAGGAGGCAUAGGACGCAAGGUCAUGAUUGGGAUUAUUGCUAGAAUUGCAAACUGAUUAGAAAUGAUUUUAUGAUUUAAUAUGUAAGUGGGACUUUUCAAACUAAUCAAGAAGUGUUUCCCAAUCCCGAUACCCGAGCUAUUUACUUACAAGUGCAGGUUUUAUACGUCACUAAUGCUGUUAACGUGAGGGGAUGACAUGUCUACACAGUCAUGGCCCUCACUUAGAGUUUCCCCAGAUGUGCUUUUUUCCUCAGUUAUGAGUUUUUGCCACUGGGUUUUUUGACCUGGCCCAAGUUCACUGGGUGGACUGGUAAUCCAAGACCCUGGUCCAAAGAGGGGAAAUAGAUUUUAUUCCCAUUUUUGAUUAUAUGUGUUUACGUUGUGAAUUAUAAUAAUAAUAUUCCCGUUGUUAGGAAUAAUACACUUUGCCUGUUUUGAUCCAAGGAUCAAGUUACAGAUAAC